rnacentral:rRNA from 1 species
GUUGAUCCUGCCGGACCCCACUGCUAUCGGGAUAGGACUAAGACAUGCUAGUUGAGCGCUUCCAGCCAACACGGGAGCGCAGCGCACAGCUCAGUAACACGUGGCUAAUCUGCCCUUGGGAUAGGAACAUCCCCGGGAAACUGGGGCUAAUUCCCAAUAGGCGAAGAACUCUGGAAUGAGUCUUCACCAGAAAAGACGUUUACGUUAUGCUCGUAGGCGUCGCCCAAGGAUGAGGCCGCGACCGAUCAGGUUGUUGGUGAGGUAAUGGCUCACCAAGCCUUUUACCGGUGCGGGCCGUGAGAGCGGGAGCCCGGAGAUGGGCACUGAGACAAGGGCCCAGGCCCUACGGGGCGCAGCAGUCGCGAAAACUUUGCAAUACACGAAAGUGUGACAGGGCUAUCCCGAGUGCCAUCCGCUGAGGAAGGCUUUUACCCAGUCUAGAACGCUGGGGGAAUAAGGAGAGGGCAAGUCUGGUGUCAGCCGCCGCGGUAAUACCAGCUCUUCGAGUGGUGUGGAUGUUUAUUGGGCCUAAAGCAUCCGUAGCUGGCUGAGUUAGUCCCCUGUUAAAUCCACCGAAUUAAUCGUUGGAUUGCGGGGGAUACUGCUCGGCUAGGGGACGAGAGAGGCAGACGGUAUUUCCGGGGUAGGGGUGAAAUCCUAUAAUCCCGGGAAGACCACCAGUGGCGAAGGCUGUCUGCUAGAACGCGCCCGACGGUGAGGGAUGAAAGCUGGGGGAGCGAACCGGAUUAGAUACCCGGGUAGUCCCAGCUGUAAACGAUGCAGGCUAGGUGUUUGGACGGCCACGUGCCGUUCUAGUGCCGCAGGGAAGCUGUUAAGCCUGCCGCCUGGGGAGUACGAUCGCAAGAUUGAAACUUAAAGGAAUUGGCGGGGGAGCACCACAAGGGGUGAAGCUUGCGGUUUAAUUGGAUUCAACGCCGGG